rnacentral:rRNA from 1 species
GACGAACGCUGGCGGCGUGCUUAACACAUGCAAGUCGAACGGUAAGGCCCUUCGGGGUACACGAGUGGCGAACGGGUGAGUAACACGUGGGUGAUCUGCCCUGCACUUCGGGAUAAGCCUGGGAAACUGGGUCUAAUACCGGAUAGGACUCCGGACUGCAUGGUCUGGGGUGGAAAGCUUUUGCGGUGUGGGAUGGGCCCGCGGCCUAUCAGCUAGUUGGUGGGGUGAUGGCCUACCAGGGCGACGACGGGUAGCCGGCCUGAGAGGGUGACCGGCCACACUGGGACUGAGAUACGGCCCGGACUCCUACGGGAGGCAGCAGUGGGGAAUAUUGCACAAUGGGCGCAAGCCUGAUGCAGCGACGCCGCGUGAGGGAUGACGGCCUUCGGGUUGUAAACCUCUUUCAGCAUCGACGAAGCGAAAGUGACGGUAGGUGCAGAAGAAGGACCGGCCAACUACGUGCCAGCCGCCGCCGUAA